GGGCCGUUAGCUCAGUUGGUUAGAGCGUCGUGCUAAUAACGCGAAGGUCGUGGGUUCGAUCCCCCCACGGGCCA
rnacentral:tRNA from 1 species